UUUCAAGUCUGCUUUACAUCCCAAGGAGGCAGGGAGAGGGAAGCAAUGGGAUUUCCUCUUUGAGGAAGACAUUUUAACCCCUCUUAUCUAUUCAGUUAAAAAUUUCUCUGCCAACAGGUGAUGAGGGAAAAGCUAAAAGGAGUUAGAAACCAGAACAAAACACUGGAUCCAAGGGAGAGAAAAUUGGAUCAGGACUCGUGGCUUUUGAAGGAGCUUUGCUCAGCUUGAACGUGCAAAACUUGUUGUCUC
rnacentral:lncRNA from 1 species